rnacentral:pre_miRNA from 1 species
GGGCUCUAACUUCAUUUUCCCGGGCAGCUUUUGUGAUUUAGCAAUUGUGACUUUUGCAAAUUGCAUAGUCACAAAAGUGAUCGGGGAGGUGGAACAAUCCA